rnacentral:rRNA from 1 species
ACUCCUACGGGAGGCAGCAGUAGGGAAUCUUCCACAAUGGGCGCAAGCCUGAUGGAGCAACACCGCGUGAGUGAAGAAGGGUUUCGGCUCGUAAAGCUCUGUUGUUAAAGAAGAACACGUAUGAGAGUAACUGUUCAUACGUUGACGGUAUUUAACCAGAAAGUCACGGCUAACUACGUGCCAGCAGCCGCGGUAAUACGUAGGUGGCAAGCGUUAUCCGGAUUUAUUGGGCGUAAAGAGAGUGCAGGCGGUUUUCUAAGUCUGAUGUGAAAGCCUUCGGCCUAACCGGAGAAGUGCAUCGGAAACUGGAUAACUUGAGUGCAGAAGAGGGUAGUGGAACUCCAUGUGUAGCGGUGGAAUGCGUAGAUAUAUGGAAGAACACCAGUGGCGAAGGCGGCUACCUGGUCUGCAACUGACGCUGAGACUCGAAAGCAUGGGUAGCGAACAGGAUUAGAUACCCUGGUAGGAUAGCG